GUUUCCAUGGCACAAUUGGCUAGCGCGUCCAACUGUUAAUGACGAAGUUGGUGGCUCAAGCCCACCUGGGAGCG
rfam:Conidiobolus coronatus NRRL 28638 unplaced genomic scaffold CONCOscaffold_336, whole genome shotgun sequence.